UACGUAGGGGGCAAGCGUUGUCCGGAAUCAUUGGGCGUAAAGCGCGUGUAGGCGGCUCAGUAAGUCCGCUCUGAAAGCCCGGGGCUUAACCCCGGGAGGCGGGUGGAUACUGCUGAGCUUGAGUCCGGAAGAGGCGAGUGGAAUUCCCGGUGUAGCGGUGAAAUGCGCAGAUAUCAGGAAGAACACCCGUGGCGAAAGCGGCUCUCUGGAACGGUACUGACGCUGAGACGCGAAAGCGUGGGGAGCGAACAGG
rnacentral:rRNA from 1 species